rnacentral:misc_RNA from 1 species
GAUGAAGAACGCAGCGAAAUGCGAUAAGUAGUGUGAAUUGCAGAAUUCAGUGAAUCAUCGAAUCUUUGAACGCACAUUGCGCCCUCUGGUAUUCCGGAGGGCAUGCCUGUUCGAGCGUCAUUACAACCCUCAGGCCCCCGGGCCUGGCGUUGGGGAUCGGCGGAAGCCCCCUGUGGGCACACGCCGUCCCUCAAAUACAGUGGCGGUCCCGCCGCAGCUUCCAUUGCGUAGUAGCUAACACCUCGCAACUGGAGAGCGGCGCGGCCAUGCCGUAAAACACCCAACUUCUGAAUGUUGACCUCGAAUCAGGUAGGAAUACCCGCUGAACUUAAGCAUAUCAAUAAGCGGAGGA